UACGUAGGGUGCGAGCGUUAAUCGGAAUUACUGGGCGUAAAGUGUGCGCAGGCGGCAGAGCAAGUCGAGUGUGAAAGCCCCGGGCUUAACUUGGGAAUUGCGCUCGAAACUACUUUGCUGGAGUGUGGCAGAGGAAGGUGGAAUUCCACGUGUAGCGGUGAAAUGCGCAGAUAUCAGGAGGAACACCGGUGGCGAAGGCGGGUCUCUGGGCCGUAACUGACGCUGAGGAGCGAAAGCAUGGGGAGCGAACAGG
rnacentral:rRNA from 1 species